UAAUCUCGUGCCAGCCACCGCGGUUAUACGAGAGGCUCAAGUUGAUAGUCCUCGGCGUAAAGAGUGGUUAGGAAAAAUAUUAAACUAAAGCCGAAUGCCCACAAGACUGUCAUAAGUGCACGAGGGUAAGAAGUCCAAUCACGAAAGUAGCUUUAUUAAUUCCGACCCCACGAAAGCUGUGAAACAAACUGGGAUUAGAUACCCCAUUAUGCUCAGCCUUAAACUUCGAUAGUAAGUCUUACCCACUAUCCACCCGGGAACUACGAGCGCAAGCUUAAAACCCAAAGGACUUGGCGGUGCUCAAUAUCCGUCUAGAGGAGCCUGUCCUAGAACCGAUACUCCCCGUUAAACCUCACCCCCCCUUGCUUCUCAGCCUAUAUACCGCCGUCGUCAGCUUACUUUGUGAAAAAUAAGCAGUAAGCAAAAUUGGUAAAACCUAAAAAGACAGGUCGAGGUGUAGCUUAUGGGAGGGGAAGAGAUGGGCUACAUUCCCUGAUAUAGGGCAUACGAACAAUGUAUUGAAAUAUACAUUAGAAGGAGGAUUUAGCAGUAAGCAGAAAAUAGAGCGUUCUGCUGAAUAUUGGCUCUAGAGCGCGCACACACCGCCCGU
rnacentral:rRNA from 1 species